rnacentral:rRNA from 1 species
AGAGUUUGAUCCUGGCUCAGGAUAAACGCUGGCGGCGUGCCUAACACAUGCAAGUCGAACGCUCUUGGAAACAAGAGAGUGGCGGACGGGUGAGGAACACGUGGGUAUCUGCCCUGGGGUGAGGAAUACCGGCGAGAAAUCGCCGACAAUACCGCAUAUGCUUCGCAAGAAGCAAAGUCGUAAGACGCCCUGGGAUGAGC